GUGCCAGCAGCCGCGGUAAUACAGAGGUGGCAAGCGUUGUUCGGAAUUACUGGGCGUAAAGGGCGCGUAGGCGGCCCGCCAAGUCCCGUGUGAAAGCCCCCGGCUCAACCGGGGAACGGCGCGGGAAACUAGCAGGCUUGAGUUCGGGAGAGGGAAGCGGAAUUCCGGGUGUAGCGGUGAAAUGCGCAGAUAUCCGGAGGAACACCGGUGGCGAAGGCGGCUUCCUGGACCGACACUGACGCUGAGGCGCGAAAGCUAGGGGAGCAAACGGGAUUAGAAACCCUUGUAGUCC
rnacentral:rRNA from 1 species